AUGCAGAAGGUUCCAAAUCACAAUUUUUUGAAUUCUAGUGGAUUGCAAUUUGCAAAAUUUGAAAGAAGUUUUAGAGAGACUUAGUUUGGGACAAAAUCUUGGGGUUGAAUCUAUUAAUUACCUUUUGCUCCCGGCAGCAAGAAUGCACCAGAAACCUUUGAUCAUUGAUUGGGAAUGCGUUAUGUCUGUGCCGUUUCGAUCUGAAGAAAAUUCUGAGUAUCACAUAGAUUGUUAUCUACCCAACAAUUGUUCCGGUGUUCUACGUACCAAAAAUGGUAUGGUUUGUACUUGCAGGGUCCAGAAUUCCUUGGUCUAUACCCCUCAUACUGGUCUCCUGUAUUGCAUCACUGGUUUGUUGGAUGACUUGAAUGGAAACUCACUUCUGAGACCUAGGGGCAGGAGAGCUCGUACCUACAAGACGCACUAUGAAGAAAAGUGUGGGAUCAAUUUGCGUGUUGAUCAACAUUGCUCAAGGGGAGACACAUUUUCAAGGUACAAAAUUAUCUUCUGAGUUGCAGGCAACAGAGAAAAAAAGAAUCAAAGCCUAUUGAAUUGCCACCUGAACUUUGCUCUAUAGUCAUGUCACCU